CAGUGCGCAGGCGCCAUCGGGCAGGUAGCGCGAGAACAGCUGAUUGGCGUUAGGGCGUUUGGCCAGGCCGCCAGCUGCAAAUGUAGUAUGCGCGCUCCUCUCUCGCCAAGGAUGGACAUCAUCCCCAGGAGAGAUGGAGUAACUCUUCAGCAUCAGCAGAUAGGCUCUAGCCUUGCCUUUCCCAGCUAAAACACUGCCACUUCCCCUACUCCUGACUAUGCUCUAAACUUAGGUUUUGGCAAUUACUGAUUCCCAGUUGCUUGGAAAAAAAGGAAAUGCGUUCUUUAAAAGACAACAGACUCGUGGAAUCCCUUCACUCUUCCUUCAAG